GAUCAUAAGUCAGGUUUAUUGAAAUACUACUUUUCGGUUCUGCAUUAUCAUAGUUUUCAUCUUUUCUUGAACAACAAGAUCCAAUAUUGGAUAAUUUAGAAGCUUUUUUGGUAGAAUUUUGAUCUAUGUAUGGAGAAUAUGAUACAAUUCAUGUUGCAAUAAAUAAGAUCUGUAUCUUGCGACAAGAAAAUUAAUUUGUAACAAC
rnacentral:lncRNA from 1 species